rnacentral:rRNA from 1 species
UACGUAGGGUGCGAGCGUUAAUCGGAAUUACUGGGCGUAAAGCGUGCGCAGGCGGUUUUGUAAGUCUGUCGUGAAAGCCCCGGGCUUAACCUGGGAAUUGCGAUGGAGACUGCAAGGCUUGAAUCUGGCAGAGGGGGGUAGAAUUCCACGUGUAGCAGUGAAAUGCGUAGAGACGUGGAGGAACACCGAUGGCGAAGGCAGCCCCCUGGGUCAAGAUUGACGCUCAUGCACGAAAGCGUGGGGAGCAAACAGG